CGUGUUUUUGUCAGGUCUAUAUACGUCCUAAUUAUUUCGGUAUGGGACUCCAGAGCUGUUUCCAAGAUAGACCUGAUCAUCCUUAAACAAAAAGAGAGGAGGCGCACACCCAGUAAUUUCCGGCAGGGAUAGCCAACAAUUCGUCUGUUAAUACCAGAAAAUAAAGCCAGCUAUUAAGUUGCGUCAAGCUGCGUUACGAGAGAGGAGCAUACAUCCUUUUACAGGCCCCUAUUUGCAUUGUAAAUCUCUUCGUUUUCACGAAAGACUCCUUUGCCUCUAUAAAGAUGAAAAGCCUUCGGCAAUUUCCAGCGCAGUGUAAGGAGGAAGAAGAAGGUGGGGAAAAUCCAUUCCAGUAGGAAGUAACAAGAUGAUUCGAGGAUCCGGCUCCCGAUCCCCUUAGAUUAUGCACGCCAUAGAGCUCUUUGCCAAAUGGUGGCGGCUUGAUUGCAAAGUAUCUUGCCUGCGUGUGUGUUUUAGAGGGGGGAGGUUCUCGAGCUGGGGAGAAGACGGCGGUCUUGCCGGCUGCUGCAGCCCCCGGUCUGAAAGAAGGAGAAAAGGGCCAUCAUUGGAGGGCUUUCAGUGCCAAAAUGCGGGCCAGCCCGGCAAGGUCAGAGGUCCCGGACCGCGAGAGACCAAGGUAAUGAUGAUGUCAUGAGAAACCUCGAGUACACACUUCUAUUGAUAUGCAUGAGCCACCAGCGGCCGGCGCCUGGACCGAGUCUGGUCUCGCCUCUAGCAUCGCCGCCUCCGCCGCCCUGGUGCGGGGAUCCUCCCGCCGCCGCCACCUUCCUCCUCCUCCUCCUCUGCAGCGCACACCGCCCUGACAUCCAGAGGCCGGCGGGCAGGACGCUGUCCUCGGGGACGGGAAGCAGCCUGUCCGAGCCCAGGGAGGUCUGCUGCUCCUCUCUCAGGGCAGCCCCCGCUGGUGAGGAGCGAUACCGCGACGGGAAGCGCGGCCUUGCCUUGGGAGCCGGGAGCGGGGCUGUGCUGAGCAAUGAGUCCAUGUGGAAUUACACUGACAAUUUGCCCCGUCGUUGUGUGUCUGUGAGGGGCUUUUUUUUGGUUGGUUAGUUGCUUUGAGGGGAGAGGGCGGAUUUAUGUAUUUUUACUCGGCGGCUCUGUCGCGCUCCGCGCCUAUCGUGAGUCACAGGUAUUUACAGCAGGACGGUCUUGCGAGGCGUUCUCCUCUGCCUGUCUGUGCAGGAAGCUGCGAGCAGCAGGCUCAGCGUAUUCUGCAGCCUCUAUAACGUCUCUCCGCCCUUCUGCCCACCCCCACUCCCUCCCGUCCUGUGUGUGUCUCUGUGUCUGCGUUAGAAUGCAACACAGGUGAACAUUGCAGCAAUAUUUACUAAGAGCAUGCAUCAUCUGAUGGAACGCCUUAAGAAAAACGCUGAUUUAUUUUUAUUUUUAUUUACCUCUUACUAAGAGAGGGAACUGCAUGCUGGUGUUGUUACUCAUGGAACCGAUGGAGGAAAGUCUUGAUGCAUUAUGUAGAAUUAUAGGAUUUAAGUCAGCUCCUCUCCCCCCCUCCCCCGCACCGCCCCCACCCACUAAAAGAACACUGUACUUUGAAUUUUUUAACAAUACCAUCUAUAUAGAAUUUUCUUAGGUGCAAAUGUUAAAGAUCUCUCGAGUGUAUGUGAUAAAACCAACCUUCUUACUGUGAUCUACCAUGUUUACAGAUGAAAUUAAUAAAUGCACUUCAACAGCUA